UCCUGGUUUCCCAGGCAGUCCCACCAGAGUGCCUUCUUACGAAGUAGCAACUGAUGGCAAGGGUUGCGCUCGUUAUAGGACUUAACCCAACAUCUCACGACACGAGCUGACGACAGCCAUGCAGCACCUGUGUAUAUGUCUAUGGUUUCCCAUAGAAAAAUGGAUCUCUCCACCGGUCAUAUACAUGUCAAACCUGGGUAAGGUUUCUCGCGUAGUGUCGAAUUAAACCACAUGUUCCACCGCUUGUGCGGACCCCCGUCAAUUCCUUUGAGUUUUAAUCUUGCGACCGUAAUCCCCAGGCGGAUCACUUAAUGCGUUAGCUACGACACUAAUCUCGCAAAGCGAGACUAACGUCCAGUGAUCAUCGUUUACGGCGUGGACUAC
rnacentral:misc_RNA from 1 species